UACGUAGGGAGCAAGCGUUGUCCGGAAUCAUUGGGCGUAAAGCGCGCGUAGGCGGCCUCAUAAGUCCGUUGUGAAAGUCAAAGGCUCAACCUUUGAAAGCCGAUGGAUACUGUGAGGCUAGAGUCCGGAAGAGGCGAGUGGAAUUCCUGGUGUAGCGGUGGAAUGCGCAGAUAUCAGGAGGAAUACCGGUGGCGAAAGCGACUCUCUGGACGGCAACUGACGCUGAGGCACGAAAGCGUGGGGAGCAAACAGG
rnacentral:rRNA from 1 species